GCCGUGUCAGCAGGAAUGAAAUAUGGCUUUUAAAGAAUAACAGGUCUAGUUUUGUAGCUUCUCUUCGGCAGGUACGGGAUCAGAGCGGUGUCCAUGACGACGGAGACAACAGAGCGUAGAAUGCCGUCAUUGACGAAUCGCGAUCGAGUAUUCAGCGAUGACGUUCCUUUCCGAAAGCUGCGUUAGUCGCGCUCCUUCUUCGCAAAGUUGACACUAAAUCCUCUGAAGGCAGAAAGACGCUCGGCCACCGGCGCCUUUUCAGGCUGUCGCUGAUUUUUGUCUGGAAACUUGAGAUCUUGAGUGGUGGUUCAAGUCUCAAGGACGUCAAGUGUAACAGCAUUAAAGUCCAAAGUGUGCGAGUGUGACGUCCAUCUGGUCCGGUUGUCUGGAAGGUGCACACUGAAAGACACACACUGCAGGUCUGCACACACACACACACACACACACUGCAGGUCUCUGUACACACACACACACACACACACACACACUGCAGGUCUCUGUACACACACACACACACACACACACACACACACACACACACACACACACACACUGCAUGUCUCUGCACACACACACUGCAGGUCUCUGCACACACACACACACACACACACACACACACACACACACACACACACACACACUGCAGGUCUCUGUACACACACACACACUGUAUGUCUCUGUACACACACACACACACUGUAUGUCUCUGUACACACACACACACUGUAUGUCUCUGCACACACACACACACUGUAUGUCUCUGCACACACACACUGCAG
ensembl:lncRNA